rnacentral:lncRNA from 1 species
AUCUCUCCUAUUGACAUCUAUAUAUUCGAAGCCCUUUUUGCCAAUCUAUCUCAUUCAUUCAUAAAACAAAAGCGAAAAAUCGAUUGCAAAAGAUGUCUCUAAUAACAGAGGAGAUGAGAGCAAGUGCCACUGAAUUCUACACUGGAAAUGAUAUCUGUCAAGAAAAAUCAAAGUUCUUGUUAACAGAAAUGAACCUCCCAAAUGGGCUUCUCCCUUUGCAAGACAUGUUAGAAUGUGGCUAUGUUAAAGACACUGGCUUUGUUUGGCUCAAAUCAAAGAAAAAAACAGAGCACAAAUUUGAAAAAAUUGGAAGAUCAGUCCAAUAUGCAACUGAAGUGACAGCUUAUGUUGAGCCCAAUAAGAUCAAGAAACUUACUGGGGUUAAAGCUAAAGAGCUUCUAAUGUGGCUAACACUUAAUGAAAUUUCUGUUGAUGAGCCAUCUACUGGGAAAAUCCAUUUCAAGACCCCAACUGGUCUUGCUAGAACUUUCCCUGUUUCAGCCUUUGAACUUGAUCUCCCUAAAAAGGAAGUCAAAGAAGAAGCCAAAGAAGUGAAUGCUGCUGCUGUUGAAGUGAAAGAGGUUUAAAGAAAAAAAAAAGUUUUAUUUUGAUUAAAAAGUUGUUGUUUUACUACUACUUAAGUUGAGGAUGAUGAUUAUCUUGAUGUACUCGUGAUGAUGAUCAAGUGGCUCAUCUUUUCUUUGAAUUUAGUCACAUUAUUAUUAAUAAACUUUAGUUUAAAUGAAAAGUUUAUUUUUCACGAGUCUUUCGUUACAUGAUUUAUCUUUAAGAAUUUUUUUUUAUAAUUUUUUUAAUAUAUGAUGUUUCGUAUAAUUUUAUAAGUAAAAUUUUAAAAAAAAUAAUAUGUAUAUAAUUUUAUCAUAUUUUGUGAAGAUAAAAAAAUUGUUUUAAUCGAUAGAUUUUUCACUAAUUUUCUUUUGCUUCAUAGGAUAGACAAACUAUACCAGAGAGUAGAUAUCAAAUUUAACGUUUAAUGAUUGCCCUUGCUGUUCCUUUUUAGAAAUUGUGUACCUAAAUUAAAUAAUACCACCUAUCUUCUAUAAUACAUUUAUUAAAUAGUGUUUUUUUUCUUCUGGGACUAUCUUUUGAAGUUUUGACUUUUUUCUAGUUAAAUUAUAAAACUUGGCUAUUACUUAUGUUGGGUUAUGGGUCUUUUUUCCCUUUCUAUGUGGAUAAAUAAAAGCCCAAUUUGGACCAAUCCAUUUUUGUCCAUAAGCCCAUUCUUAUGAGACAAAUAUAAGCCUAUUUUAGGUCUUAUUUUCAAAUUUUUUAGAGAGAGUUUUUCAGCAACCAAAAGAGAAAAAAAAGAGAGAAAUUCGCAGUCAAAAAUCCAACCAUAACAACCAACUUCAAAUUGCGAUUCCCGCUUCGUUUCUUGUCCAAUUGAGCUGAUUUUUGGACAGCAUAUUAUCUUCAUCUCAAUCUUUGAUUAGGAACUGACAGAGUUGGAUUUGGUGGUCUGCAGCUUCAGUUUUGCUGUCGUGAACAGUAGCUGCGAAAUUGGUGAUUUUGCUCCUUUAAUUCUCUAGAUUUGGUGCAAUCUUAUUUUGUUGUUGCUCGUUGUUUGGCACUUUGUUUUGUGGCCAAUUUUGGAGAACAAUAUUGUAACUCUUGGUGAUUAUAGUGGAGCUUUUGGUCCCGUGGUUUUUUACUCUUCACAUCGAAGGGUUUUCCACGUAAAUCUUGGUGUCUUGUGUGAUUGGUUUAUUAUUGUCUUGUUAUAUUUGUUUGGUUGAAUUACUUGCUGCCUUACUAUCAUAUUGCUUGUGGUUGUUUGUUUUCUCUUGGUUCAAAUGAAAAGGGAAAGUAUAGACUUGGGUAUUCUUCCGCUGUUAUCCUGUCAGACAUUCUUUGUUAGUGUCUUGUCUUUCCCAACAACUUAUUCCACGUCAAUGAUAUUUAUAACAACUACGUAGUAAUAUGUAAGAGUUAAAGAUGAAAGGAAAAUGAAAAAGACUUUGGUGAACGAACUUAGCAUUUAAUUAUUUUCCCCCUAAAAAAAAAAGUGCAAGAGGAGAGGUAAUACCUUUAAAUGUGCAUCUUUUUUAGUUAAUACCUUUAACUAAAAAAUAUAAAAAAACAUCAAUGUAUUUUAAAAUAGAUAAAUGUUAUAAUUUUUUAAAUUUUCUGAUCAAAUUCUGGCUAAAUUUUCUGAUCAUUUAACACUUUCUCUUUUUAAUCGAAAUCAUUUUCUAUGCUAUUAAUUUCUUUUUCAGUGAAUCCAUCCGAUGCCCAGUAGAUAUACGUCAUGUUUUUGCAUUCAAACUCCUAACGCCUAGCUAUACUUAAGUAAUAUAAAUUCUUAAUUCAUUUAUAAUUGAAAUAUAUAUUAUCUUCGUUCACUUUUAAUUAUCAUAAUUUAUUUUUUAAAAUUAAAUUAUAAAUAUUUUAAACUAAUAUUUUAUGAUAUAUUUUUUUAUUAUAUUGAUACGCAAGAAAAUACAAUCGCUACUGUAUUUAUUAUAAGUACUCCUUCCAACUGUUCGUUUAGUUCUGCAUUAAAUGUAAGCAAACCCUUUUUUCCAAUACUUGAUUUGUAACACAACCUCCCAUCCAAUUUCACAUAUUGUAGGUCCAUAUUUAAAUUAUUUUUCAAUGCUCUGAUGAUCACUUUUUUCUAAUUUUUGGUGGACUACCACUUAAUUCCCUCCAUGCAAUUUUGGGGAAAACAAAAUGAAGGCUGAUUUAUAAUCGUACUUCUUUUUUACAUUUCUUAUAAAAAAAAAUAUUAAAUCAAAAUGAUACUUGACUCGAUCUGUAAGUUGGAUUUCUAUACUUAUGACUUUAUCAACUGAAUCUUUAAAUUCAUUCAAAUUCAAUACUUUAAAUUCCUUUCUCAUCUUAUGAAUGUACAUGUAGUACACUCAUUAUAAUUUUGACAAUUUUAAAAUAAUAAUAUUGUAUUCACUUGCUUCAAAAAUGCAUGUGAUCAUGUAUUUGUCUAAUUUAAUUAUUUUAGUGUCACAUAAACUUAAUUAAUGGUGAAAGAAGCUUAAAAUUAGAGUUUCCUCGAGUUGAAGAGUUUAGUUAGCAAAAUUCUGAUUUGCUAAUCUGGGCAUAUAAUAAGGGCAUUUGAGAAAUUUAAGCCAAAGGCCAAGGGUAAUCUCUCACAUUGACAUCUAUAUAUUAGAAGCAUUUUUCCCAAUCAUAUAUCAUUCAUUACAAAGUGAAAAAUCCACUGCAAAAUAUGUCUCUAAUAACAGAGGAGAUUAGAGCAAGUGCAACUGAAUUCUACACUGGAAAUGAUAUCUGUCAAGAGAAAUCAAAGUUCUUGUUAACAGAAAUGAACCUCCCAAAUGGGCUUCUCCCUAUGCAAGACAUGUUAGAAUGUGGCUAUGUUAAAGACACUGGCUUUGUUUGGCUCAAAUCAAAGAAAAAAACAGAGCACAAAUUUGAAAAAAUUGAUAGAUCAGUCCAAUAUGCAACUGAAGUGACAGCUUAUGUUGAGCCCAAUAAGAUCAAGAAACUUACUGGGGUUAAAGCUAAAGAGCUUCUAAUGUGGC